rnacentral:rRNA from 1 species
GACGAACGCUGGCGGCGUGCCUAAUACAUGCAAGUAGAACGCACAGUUUAUACCGUAGCUUGCUACACCAUAGACUGUGAGUUGCGAACGGGUGAGUAACGCGUAGGUAACCUGCCUGGUAGCGGGGGAUAACUAUUGGAAACGAUAGCUAAUACCGCAUAAUAUUGAUUAUUGCAUGAUAAUUAAUUGAAAGGUGCAAUUGCACCACUACCAGAUGGACCUGCGUUGUAUUAGCUAGUAGGUGAGGUAACGGCUCACCUAGGCGACGAUACAUAGCCGACCUGAGAGGGUGAUCGGCCACACUGGGACUGAGACACGGCCCAGACUCCUACGGGAGGCAGCAGUAGGAAAUCUUCGGCAAUGGACGAAAGUCUGACCGAGCAACGCCGCGUGAGUGAAGAAGGUUUUCGGAUCGUAAAGCUCUGUUGUAAGAGAAGAACGGGUGUGAGAGUGGAAAGUUCACACUGUGACGGUAGCUUACCAGAAAGGGACGGCUAACUACGUG